rnacentral:rRNA from 1 species
UGCGUAGGCGGAUAAAUAAGUCAGUGGUGAAAUCUUUCGGCUCAACCGGGAAACUGCCAUUGAUACUGUUUAUCUUGAGUUCGGUAGAGGUAGGCGGAAUGUGUAAUGUAGCGGUGAAAUGCUUAGAUAUUACACAGAACACCAAUUGCGUAGGCAGCUUACUAUGACGACACUGACGCUGAGGCACGAAAGCGUGGGGAGCGAACAGGAUUAGAUACCCUGGUAGUCC